UACGUAGGGGCUAGCGUUGUCCGGAAUCAUUGGGCGUAAAGCGCGCGUAGGCGGCCCAGUAAGUCCGUUGUAAAAGUCAAAGGCUCAACCUUUGAAAGCCGAUGGAUACUGCUGGGACUAGAGUACGGAAGAGGCAAGUGGAAUUCCUGGUGUAGCGGUGGAAUGCGCAGAUAUCAGGAGGAACACCUAUAGCGAAGGCAGCUUGCUGGGACGUUACUGACGCUAAGGCGCGAAAGCGUGGGGAGCGAACAGG
rnacentral:rRNA from 1 species